UUUCUAGAUGUUCUGGGCCGCACGCGCGCUACACUGAACAGUUCAACAAGUCUUAACCUUGGCCGAUAGGUCUGGGUAAUCUUUGAACGCUGUUCGUGAUUGGGAUAGACCUUUGCAAUUAUGGGUCUUCAACGAGGAAUUCCUAGUAAACGCAAGUCAUCAGCUUGCAUUGAUUACGUCCCUGCCCUUUGUACACACCGCCCGUCGCACCUACCGAUUGAAUGGUCCGGUGAAAUCUCGGGACGGCGGCUUGGUCGCUUGCGUCCGACUGCUGAAACUUGAUUAAACCAUAUCAUUUAGAGGAAGGUGAANUCGUANCA
rnacentral:rRNA from 1 species